CUUCUCUCGUGCUGGCUUGUAAGCAGCUGCACAAGGCUGGCUUUCUGCAUGUCGUAGUGCCGUCUCAGGAAGCAGAGGUGAGUGAAGUUGCCCCUGAGAGUCGGAAGGCAGUGUCUGCAGAUGAGCAGCAUUCUCUUGGCAUGAAGCUUCUUUCCCUGGUUUAUGAAAGCAUCGCCCCUGGACAUGAGGG